rnacentral:rRNA from 1 species
CCGCAUCAGGAUGGGCCCGCGGCCCAUUAGCUUGUUGGUGGGGUAACGGCCUACCAAGGCUUCGAUGGGUAGCUGGUCUGAGAGGACGAUCAGCCACACUGGGACUGAGACACGGCCCAG